rnacentral:rRNA from 1 species
UACGAAGGGGGCUAGCGUUGUUCGGAAUUACUGGGCGUAAAGGGCUCGUAGGCGGCCAACUAAGUCGGACGUGAAAUCCCCAGGCUCAACCUGGGAACUGCGUCCGAUACUGGAUGGCUUGAAUCCGGGAGAGGGAUGCAGAAUCCAGGUGUAGCGGUGAAAUGCGUAGAUAUCUGGAGGAAUACCGUGGCGAAGGCGGCAUCCUGGACCGGCAUUGACGCUGAGGAGCGAAAGCCAGGGAGCAA